rnacentral:sRNA from 1 species
GCUGGGCGUGGUGGCCCAUGCCUGUAUUUCCAGUGACUUGGGAGGCUGAGGAAGGAGGAUCAUGAGUUCAAAGCCAGUCUCAGCAAUUUAGCGAGGCACUUGCAAUUCAGAGACCCUCUCUCUA